rnacentral:sRNA from 1 species
GUUUGCACUUGUCGGGGAAGGGUGAGAACCUUCGAUUAAGGUUCGACUCGAGCGAAAGCGAGAGAACGUUGCCAACGGCAACGGCCCGUAGGG